rnacentral:rRNA from 1 species
GACGAACGCUGGCGGCGUGCCUAAUACAUGCAAGUCGAACGCAGUGGGGACGGGUGAGUAACACGUGGGUAACGUCCCAGCAGAGUGGCUAACAUUUGGCAACAGGUGCUAAACCCACACUGAUGGAUGUACCUGCGGUGCAUUAGCUUGUUGGUGAGGUAACGGCUUAACAAGGCCACGAUGCAUAGCCGACCUGAGAGGGUGGUCGGCCACACUGGGACGGAGGCACGGGCCAGAAUCCUACGGGAGGCAGCAGUAGGGAAUCAUGGGCAAUGGACGAAAGUCUGACCGGGCAACGCCGCGUGGGUGAAGAAGGUUUUCGGAUCGUAAAACUCUGUUGUUGGAGAAGCGGUUACUAACCAGAGAGCCACGGCUAACUUCGUUCCAACCGCCGCGGUAAUAC